rnacentral:rRNA from 1 species
CUACGGGGGGCUCCAGCAGGGAAUAUUGCACAAUGGACGGAAGUCUGAUGCAGCGACGCCGCGUGGAUGAUGAAGGCCCUCGGGUUGUAAAAUCCUUUUCAGGGGGACGAGGAAGGACGGUACCCUUGGAAUAAGCGUCGGCUAACUACGUGCCAGCAGCCGCGGUAAGACGUAGGACGCAAGCGUUAUCCGGAUUUACUGGGCGUAAAGCGUCUGUAGGCGGAAUGGUAAGUUGGACGUGAAAGCUCCGGGCUCAACCCGGAGAGGUCGUUCAAUACUGCCAAACUAGAGGGCAUCAGAGGAGCGUGGAAUUUCCGGUGUAGCGGUAAAAUGCGCAGAUAUCGGAAGGAACACCAAUGGCGAAGGCAGCGCUCUGGGAUGAACCUGACGCUAAGAGACGAAAGCUAAGGGAGCGAACAGGAUUAGAUACCCUAGUAGUC